rnacentral:rRNA from 1 species
GACAGAGGGGGCAAGCGUUGCUCGGAAUUACUGGGCGUAAAGGGCGCGUAGGCGGGACGGAAGUCGGUCGUGAAAUCCUCCGGCUCAACCGGAGAACGGCGAUCGAUACUUCCGUUCUUGAGGGUUGCAGAGGAGACUGGAAUUCCCGGUGUAGCGGUGAAAUGUGUAGAGAUCGGGAGGAACACCGGUGGCGAAGGCGGGUCUCUGGGCAACUCCUGACGCUGAGGCGCGAAAGCGUGGGGAGCAAACGGG